rnacentral:rRNA from 1 species
UGACUCGUUCAUACGGCGUAGAGUGCACCCGAUCCCAUUAGACCUCGGAAGUUAAGCUGCGCUCGGCGGGAAUAGUACUGCGGUGGGUGACCACGCGGGAAGUCCCCGUGACGAGUCGU